ACACUAACUGGAGGACCGAACCGACUAAUGUUGAAAAAUUAGCGGAUGACCUGUGGCUGGGGGUGAAAGGCCAAUCAAACCGGGAGAUAGCUGGUUCUCCCCGAAAGCUAUUUAGGUAGCGCCUCGUGAAUUCAUCUCCGGGGGUAGAGCACUGUUUCGGCUAGGGGGCCAUCCCGGCUUACCAACCCGAUGCAAACUGCGAAUACCGGAGAAUGUUAUCACGGGAGACACACGGCGGGUGCUAACGUCCGUCGUGAAGAGGGAAACAACCCAGACCGCCAGCUAAGGUCCCAAAGUCAUGGUUAAGUGGGAAACGAUGUGGGAAGGCCCAGACAGCCAGGAUGUUGGCUUAGAAGCAGCCAUCAUUUAAAGAAAGCGUAAUAGCUCACUGGUCGAGUCGGCCUGCGCGGAAGAUGUAACGGGGCUAAACCAUGCACCGAAGCUGCGGCAGCGAACGUAUCACUUAAAGCGAUUCAGCGGGUUACGAUUGACGGAGCGAAGCGACGUCAAAGCGUAUACAAAGUCGAGUCGGUUUAAGGAUACGUU
rnacentral:rRNA from 1 species